ACUUAGCUUAUCAGCUUUUGCUGAUUAUUAGCUUCUUAGAGGGACUAUCGAUAUCAAAUCGAUGGAAGUUUGAGGCAAUAACAGGUCUGUGAUGCCCUUAGACGUUCUGGGCCGCACGCGCGCUACACUGACGGAGCCAGCGAGUACAUAACCUUGGCCGAGAGGUCUGGGUAAUCUUGUUAAACUCCGUCGUGCUGGGGAUAGAGCAUUGCAAUUAUUGCUCUUCAACGAGGAAUUCCUAGUAAGCGCAAGUCAUCAGCUUGCGUUGAUUACGUCCCUGCCCUUUGUACACACCGCCCGUCGCUACUACCAU
rnacentral:rRNA from 1 species